GCGAAAGAAUGGUGUAUAAUGUUUUCCUUGAUGAUGAUGAACCUGUGUGCUCCAGGAAUCUCGAGAGAGAGGCGAGAGAGAGGGGUAGAAGUGAGAGACGCUCUACGAGAUGGAGAAAGAGACCGAGAAGCUUUGUUGAGGUAUGUCCAGUCCAAGUCGCUGUUUGCCUUCCACAGUGAUGCCUGUGAUGAAAGAGAAAGGCAGAUGAAGCACAAGAUCUUGUCAGAGACCGACCUGCUGUUGUCCAAGGCGAGAUCUUUGCGCGCACUUGCCUCCCCGAGAAGGAGAUCCUUCUCCAGAAGCUGCAGGCCAGAUGGAAAGAGAGGGGGGAGGGGGGGAGAGAGCUCUCGGAGAAAAAAGAAACGAGAAAGAGAAAAGAGAAGGCAGACAGGAGGACGAGGAAAGGAAAAAAAAAAAUGGAAAGAAAGAAGGGAAUCAAAGCAGCCAGAUGGGGGAGGAGUGGGAUGGGGUAGUGCAAAUGCAGAUAAGUGAUAUGGGCAAAGACGAACAGUUCCAAGUUGAAGGAAAGGGGGAGGAAGCGAUAAACCUGUAAGUACUAUGCCUGUUGUUUGGACAAGUAGAUAUCUAAACGAGGUUGAACGCUGCAGGGGCAGGGAGGAGGGAGUAAACGAGAGGGCGAAGCUGGAGAGCACACGGAUGAUCGUGGCAGUGGCAGUAGCGGAGCAUUGAUGGUGCCCUCCUCGAGGAGAAUCGCCCCUGCAGAGUAACAAAGAGGUACAGCCAUAGCUAUAUCUCUACCGCCUUAAGUUGGAGCUUUGGAUCUCUUCUCUUCGCUCCUCUUCUCUCAGCUUCUACCAUUGCGGCUGUUUGCGAUUACUACAUAGGUAAACGGGGAGCGAUGGAGGGGAUAAGAUGGAAGACGCUGCUCUACUAGGAACUUGGGAGGAAAAAAAGCACACAAAAACAAAACAAAGGUAAGUUUUUGCGAUAUUUUUUUCGUUUUUUUUUUCUUUUCUUUCUUAUGUGUGUUGCUUUGUAGGGUCAAGGCGUGGGGGCCCUCAUGCAAAUGCAUAACGUGCCAUAAGGCUCACGCCAGCCAAGGAAGAAAAAGAAUUUCUAUAUGCUCCGGCUUGGCACGGGGAUCGAACCCGGGAGCUACUGGAGCUUGAUUAGUGGGAGAUUAAUUGCUAGGUGGACGUCGUUAUCGUGGGACAAAGCACGAUUAUUUGAUUUUUUUUGGCACUAUAGAUGUAGAGUGGGGCGGAUUCUUUUAAGAUUAAGUUGGGCCCCUUAGAGCAUACCACUAUGUAGCUUCCCUUUGGGAAAUAAGAGAUUCUUUUAAGCAUU
rnacentral:lncRNA from 1 species